ACAGUUAUUUCACUUCUAAAUAAAUAUGGUUUUUUAAAAGUGGCACGCGGUGGAAUGUAAUUGAGACAGGAUGGAGUUCCUAGAGAAAUUUUACUUCCUCAAUCUGCACUCCACCUUACUUAAAAUACAGUCUUGGGUCUGUAAUUCCCUUAUCUGACUCUCAAGGAAAUGACAAAGUAAUGCCUAGAUUGGACUAAACCUCAUUUAACUUCAAGGCUGACCUUUCUCAAAGUUGAACCUUCGUCUUGUGAGGAACAGAAAGAUCAAGAACUCUGAAGCACCUCGACUUUCCACCUGUGAAGAUGUGUUCAAAUUUGCAACGUGCGGCCACACCUAUGAGGUUGAACUUUAUACAAUUGGUUUCUUUAUAGGUUUAGAUGGUUGAAUUUAAGUUACCCCCACUGCUAUUAUUAUUAUUUUGAGACAGAGUCUUAACUCUGUUGCCCAGGCAGGAGUGCAGUGGCGAGAUCUGGACUCACUGCAACCUCUGCCUCCUGGCUUCAAGCAAUUCUCAUGCUUCAGCCUGUAGCUGGAACUACAGGUCACUCCCUCUGGAGGAAACCAGCUGCCACUUUGUGAGGAUACUCAUAGUCCUGUGGAGGCAUAUCCUCCAUAUGGCUGAGACCUCCUGCGAACAACCAUCACUGACUUGCCAGACAUGAGUGUGCCACCUUGGAAGCAGAUUUUCCAGCCCCAGUUAAGCCUUCAGAUGACAUCAGCCCCUGCUAAUCUCUUGACUACAACCUCAUGAGAGACCCUGAGCCAGAACUAGCCAGGCUUACCCCUCAUGGUUACAAAGUGGCUGCAACAGCUCCAGGUGUUCUAUCCUUUAACACAGAAUAACUCAAACAACAAGACCCAAUAUUCAGACAAGAAGGAAAGGGACUUUUGGAGAGUGAAGAAAACUUUCCUAGAAACCUCAAACUUCUCCCCAUGCCUUAUUGGCCAGAUUGUAUCCCAUGCCCAUUUCUAAACCAAUCAUUGGCAAAGUGAGUGGAAUUGACGUGAUUAGAUUAACUUUACCAAGAAUGCAUCCUCAGAGAGGCUGAGAAAAAGUCCAGCCUCCUUUGAAGAGCCUGGCUACCUUUCACCUGAACAAAACAAGAAUUCUGAUGAAAAAUGGAGAAUGUAUGUGGAGCAGGCACCCGGAGUGUCUAUGCCAGGAUUUUUUUUCAGUGCGUUUCACCGGUUAUAUUUUUGUCUCUUUACCUUACAAGAUAUGUGGCACGUUUGCCUAAAACAAGCCUUGCUUUCUGAUUUCUGUGCACUAGGCACUUAAACCUUGCAAAUGUCGCUUACCUAACAGUCACUGUCAAGGAGUACCUGGCUAAAGAAUCUCCAGCUAGACAAAGUAGAAGUGUCUGUGCUCUGGCAGUUGAAUAUAUUGUAUCAGGCUCAACAGCACCUUUCACCAAAGGAUGAGACUUCACAACCAUUAGAUCUUCUUUUAUUUUGUUUUUAUUAAAAAAAAAAAUUUUAACACACCAUUGCUAACUUGAAGCCAU
rnacentral:lncRNA from 1 species